AGCGCGCGCAGGUGGUUUCUUAUGUCUGAUGUGAAAGCCCACGCCCCUUUCGUGGAGGGUCAUUGGAAACUGGGAGACUUGAGUGCACUUUAGGAAAGUGGAAUUCCAUGUGUAGCGGUGAAAUGCGUAGAGAUAUGGAGGAACACCAGUGGCGAAGGCGACUCCUUUGUCUGUAACUGACACUGAGGCGCGAAAGCGUGGGGAGGAAAAAGGAUUAUAUUCCCUGGUUUUCCCCGCCGUAAAAGAUGAGUGCUAAUUGUUAAAGGGUUUCCCCCCUUUUCUGUUGAAGUUUAAACAUUAAGCAUUCCGCCCGGGGAG
rnacentral:rRNA from 1 species